UGGGGAAUUUUGGACAAUGGGCGAAAGCCUGAUCCAGCAAUGCCGCGUGUGUGAAGAAGGCCUUCGGGUUGUAAAGCACUUUUGUCCGGAAAGAAAUCCUCUGGGUUAAUACCUCGGGGGGAUGACGGUACCGGAAGAAUAAGCACCGGCUAACUACGUGCCAGCAGCCGCGGUAAUACGUAGGGUGCAAGCGUUAAUCGGAAUUACUGGGCGUAAAGGGUGCGCAGGCGGUCUUGCAAGUCAGAUGUGAAAGCCCCGGGCUUAACCUGGGAAUUGCGUUUGAAACUACAAGGCUAGAGUGCAGCAGAGGGGAGUGGAAUUCCAUGUGUAGCAGUGAAAUGCGUAGAGAUGUGGAAGAACACCGAUGGCGAAGGCAGCUCCCUGGGUUGACACUGACGCUCAUGCACGAAAGCGUGGGGAGCAAACA
rnacentral:rRNA from 1 species